rnacentral:rRNA from 1 species
GAUGAACGCUAGCUACAGGCUUAACACAUGCAAGUCGAGGGACCGGCGCACGGGUGAGUAACACGUAUCCAACCUGCCCUUUACUCGGGGAUAGCCUUUCGCAAGAAAGAUUAAUACCCGAUGUAAAGGAUGGGGAUGCGUUCAAUUAGGUUGUUGGUGAGGUAACGUCUCACCAAGCCUCCGAUGGAUAGGGGUUCGGAGAGGAAGCUCACCCACAGUGGAACUGGGCCACGGUCCAAACGCGUACGGGAGGCAGGAGUGAGUAAUAAUGGUCAGUGGGCGUUAGCCUGAACCAGCCAAGUAGCGUGAAGGAUGAAGGCUUAUGGGUCGUAAACUUCUUAUAUAUAAGAAUAUGUAUUAUAUGAAUAAGGGUCGGCUAACUCCGUGCCAGCAGCCGCGGUAAUUC